rnacentral:lncRNA from 14 species
GGUGCCGCUCCUCCUGGCUCUGCCUCCGGUGAGUCAGCUCCUCGUGUGAGCUGAGCUGCUGGCUCCUGGGCAAGUCCUGUUGAGGACUUGAGGCUCCCUCCUCUGUGGCUCUUGUCACUCUGAGAUUAAUCUUGUGAUUGGUGAGUGGAUAUGUAUCUUAUAUGACUUCUUUAAUCAAAACCUAGAAAGUUUAAACAGAAGAGUUGAAGAAGUCCAAUGCAAAGAAACCCAUGAAGAAACAACCAUAUCCUUCCUAAAGAAACUAUCCAAACUUGAGAGACGGAUUGAAGCUGCAAAAGCAUUUCAGGAGGAAGUGUUCUCAAAAAUGGCUGUUCACCAGAAACUUUAAACAAAGCAUGAAACAGGAUAAGGACAAGGAAGAUGCUUACAAGCCUCAAAAUUUAAAAAAGUGUUUGGGGUUUUUAAAAACAAGUUAAGCUUCAAGGGAAAAAUAAAAGUUGCUUUGGUGUUGCUGUGUUUUCCUUU